CCUAAGCUAUCGUAAAAUCCAUAACGAUUGCGUGGUUCACGCAGUGUUCGGUAAUUAGCCGCGUUUCCGCAUCCUCUUUGAGAAACUCGAGAGGGAGCUCAACCCAUUGGUUCGACGAUUCAUCAAGUCUAGGGCACUGUUUUAUUCAACAGCAUCGUGAAAAUGGCCAACUCUCGGGUCAAAUGAAACGAAUUGUCUUUUUUUUUUUUUAAAGGUAAAUGAGAACAUGCAUUGUUCGUUUAAAAUUGCGUACCCUGCGCUGUCAUUGUAGAAAAAGAUCUUAUUUCAUAAUAAUAUAGCUUUAUAAUGAGCUCCCAAGAAAGAACAAAAGGUUCUUUAAUAAAAACAGAGUACACAUCUUAUUGACAUUACCUGUGAGCCUAAACGAAAACUUAUUUAGACAACGGCCUGGUCCUCGUUUUUGUUUCAUAUUUGGCUUGUCGACUCUAUUGAUUCAAAUGCGUUUUCAUUAAACAGCCUACGUUAAUAACAUACAUUUAUAAUUCUGAAUAAAAACAAGUCAAAGUUUAGGUAUGAUGCACGCCUGAAAUAAAAACAGAAGGAGCUGCCACUAUUUUCCACGGCUGGGAUUGCAGACACACAUAAAGUCAGCCUCCGAAAGAUCAAUAAAGUUCAUGCACACCCUUCUCUCUCUCUUUCACAGGAAAAGAAGGACGCCAUAGUAACUAUACCAUAGUAUGCUACUAACCCAACAGCAGUGAGUGUGUGUGUGUGUGUGUGUAACAGACAUCUUUUUCUUACUUGAUGUUUUGCGGAGCAUUCGACAAAAAAAAAAAAAGAAAGGGGAACGAAGUAGUACUUUUAUUCUAUACGUCGAGAGAUCUAAUUUCUGGACUUGAGCUAUAGGUUCCAGCACUUCCUACUGAGUCGGUCUGUUUCGUUCUAACAAAAAAAAAAGGAGAAGGAAAAUGCGCAAUAAGCGGAGAACAGGAGGCCAAUCUAUAUCCCUAAAGAAGGAACAAGAAGAAAGUAAUUCACACAAAAAGGUUACAGGGCCGGGAACUGACGUGACUCAAAAGAAAACGGCCGAUGAGUGGAUCGCGUAUAGAAAAAAAUAGAACCAUAUUGGACAAAGUGUGUGACGUUUUGAUUCCAUCAAAAGGAUUGUUACCUUUAAACUCCAGCAGCUCUUUCUUCCUGCUAGAUGUCGAUACGUUUCAGUAAUUCCAAGAGGAAACAAACAGUAGUCGCUCUAACGCUCUGAGUGCCGUGGCUUUUAAAAGACCAAACGGAAAUGGGGAAGGACUAGCUCAUUGUUAUUCAUGUAGAGGGUUAAAAGCGAUCGUUAUUGACAGCCAACACAUUGGCUAUUCCACAGCGUUCAAGUGUGUGCAUUAUGUAUAUCUAUUUGGUGAGUAGUAAAAAAAAAAAAAAAAAGGCCGAGAGUGAAGAAGGAUCGCAUUUCGCGAAAGCUCCCGUCCCGUACGACCCAAAUCAAUUUGAUAUCCGGCCCCGUAUUUAUUAGGUCAUAUUUCCCCUUUCUCUGUGUUAUGACAUUGUUGCCAGUGUUUCGUGAAUGAAUGAAUGGCGGGAAAUAUUGAAAAUCCUCUACGAGUGUGUCCUCGGAGAAAUUGUUGAAUCCACGUGUUUUGUUUGCCCUUUUUUUCUCUCUCUCUCUCUCUCUUUUUCUUUAACUCUAGUCCUAAUGCCCUGGGCUGCGUGUUGGCAAGGAGGGUUGGUUUAUACCUCACCCUUUUAGCGUGAAUCCUGCGUGGUAGGACGUGGCGCCACCGUCGAUAGUGAGCGCCGUGUCGUCGAGCCAGGACCAUCAGUAGGCGAGCAGCAUCCUUGGCGGCCGGUCCGUCUGCAGCCGAUCCCUUUUUUCUUCUUCUUCUUCUUCUUCUUUCUCCCUCCUUUUCCCCUUUAUUUUGUCCGUCCCUUUCACCCGUGUGUCCCUCAUUUUCCUUCUCUCGAUUCAGACGGCCAACUAACGAUCCAGAUUGACGAGCAAACGAGUUUUCCAAAGCAAACAUCAAUUCGAAAACAGCAACGUGAAUUGACGCCGAAAAGAAGAAAUUUUUAAAAAUAAAAAUUGGACCGUAGAAAUACGUCCAUUUAUUUUAUUUAUUUUUUUUUUGUUUGUUUUUAUUUUUUUUUGUAAUUUAAUUUCACUCUCACCUGCCCGUUGCCUGGUGAUCUGACAUGGCUCACCGGCAAGGAAGUAAAAAUUAUUGCAGUCGUGGGCUGACGUGUACAACGGCAGUGUUGCUGUGCUGUUGGUAUCUUGUUCUCCAGACGGCCAACUGCGGUAAUCCGGACGCCAAACGUCUCUACGACGACCUCCUAUCCAAUUACAACAAGAUCGUCCGUCCUGUCGUCAACAACAGCGACGUACUAACCGUCCGCAUCAAACUCAAAUUGUCGCAACUCAUC